UUGCUCGCUUCAGUAGCACAUAUACUAAAAUUGUAAUGAUACAGAGAAGAUUAGUAUGGCCCCUUAAAAAAAAUCACCUUAGGGCUUGUUAAAACGCACAUUCCU
ensembl:snRNA U6 U6 spliceosomal RNA